UACGAAGGGGGCUAGCGUUGCUCGGAAUCACUGGGCGUAAAGGGUGCGUAGGCGGGGCUUUAAGUCAGGGGUGAAAUCCUGGAGCUCAACUCCAGAACUGCCUUUGAUACUGAAGAUCUUGAGUUCGGGAGAGGUGAGUGGAACUGUGAGUGUAGAGGUGAAAUUCGUAGAUAUUCGCAAGAACACCAGUGGCGAAGGCGGCUCACUGGCCCGAUACUGACGCUGAGGCACGAAAGCGUGGGGAGCAAACAGG
rnacentral:rRNA from 1 species